rnacentral:rRNA from 1 species
AUUGAACGCUGGCGGCAUGCCUUACACAUGCAAGUCGAACGGUAACAGGUUAAGCUGACGAGUGGCGAACGGGUGAGUAAUAUAUCGGAACGUGCCCAAUCGUGGGGGAUAACGCAGCGAAAGUUGUGCUAAUACCGCAUAAGAUCUACGGAUGAAAGCGGGGGAUCGCAAGACCUCGCGCGAGUGGAGCGGCCGAUAUCAGAUUAGCUAGUUGGUGGGGUAAAGGCCCACCAAGGCGACGAUCUGUAGCUGGUCUGAGAGGACGACCAGCCACACUGGGACUGAGACACGGCCCAGACUCCUACGGGAGGCAGCAGUGGGGAAUUUUGGACAAUGGGCGCAAGCCUGAUCCAGCAAUGCCGCGUGCAGGAUGAAGGCC